rnacentral:rRNA from 1 species
GGCGUAAAAGAGCUCGUAAGGUGGUUUGUCGCGUCGUCUGUGAAAUUCCGGGGCUAAAUUCCGGGCGUGCAGGGCGAUACGGGCAUAACUUGAGUACUGUAGGGGAGACUGGAUUCCUGGUGUAGCGGUGAAAUGCGCAGAUAUCAGGAGGAACACCGGUGGCGAAGGCGGGUUCUGGGCAGUAACUGACGCUGAGGAGCGAAAGCAUGGGUAGCGAACAGGAUUAGAUACCCGGUAGUCCAUGCCGUAAACGGUGGGCGCUAGGUGUAGGGGUCUUCCACGACUUCUGUGCCUAGCUAACGCAUUAAGCGCCCCGCCUGGGGAGUACGGCCGCAAGGUUAAAACUCAAAGGAUUGACGGGGGCCCGCACAAGCGGCGGAGCAUGUGGAUUAAUUCGAUGCAACGCGAAGAACUUACCUGGGCUUGACAUAUACGGGACCGGGCCAGAGAUGGUCCUUCCCUUGUGGCUCGUAACAGGUGGUGCAUGGUUGUCGUCAGCUCGUGUCGUGAGAUGUUGGGUUAAGUCCCGCAACAGCGCAACCCUUGUCUUAUGUUGCCAGCACGUAAUGGUGGGGACUCGUGAGAAACUGCCGGGUCAACUCGGAGGAAGGUGGGGAUGACGUCAAAUCAUCAUGCCCCUUAUGUCCAGGGCUCACACAUGCUACAAUGGUCGGUACAGUGGGUUGCGAUGCCGUGAGGUGGAGCUAAUCCCUAAAGCCGGUCUCAGUUCGGAUCGGGGUCUGCAACUCGACCCCGUGAAGUCGGAGUCGUUAUAAUCGCAGAUCAGCAACGCUGCGGUGAAUACGUUCCCGGGCCUUGUACACACCGCCCGU